GACAACAGUGUAAAGUCUAAACUCGCUUUCAUCAGGGUUUUCUAAGGUUCGUUCAUUACAGUGCCGAUUACUCUAAAAGCCUUCAGGCAAAAGAAGAAAGAACAAAAUAUUCAUUUACCCAGAACAACAAGCAGGUGAUGGAGAUCCAUCGGUCUACAGUGAUUCUGCUGCUGCUCUUGUGUGUGUCGUCCUGCACUCAUGGCCAACCAGCACAUAUAAUGCGUCGUUAUCAAAAAUUCCUCAAUCAGCAUCAGGGUCCUUUUGUGAAUGUGGAGACGUGUACCAGUGAAAUCAGAAGCAGAAACAUCGUCUCUGAAACGGGUGACUGCAAACCUGUCAACAGCUUCAUACGAGCAGGUGAAGGUGCUAUUGCAGCAGUCUGUAGCGGAGGAACUCAACUGUACUAUAACAGAAACCUGUUUCAGAGUGGCACGCCAUUUUCUGUGGUCACAUGCAGAUUACAAAGUGGCCAGUGGCCAAACUGUGAAUAUUAUAGAGGGAGGUUGUCCACACGUUACAUUGUGUUGGGCUGUGAACACGGCUGGCCUGUACAUUAUCAAGUCAUGUAAGUAAUGUACAGACGGCAGGCUGAAUAGAGCCUCUUUACAAUACUUUGCUAAUCAUUUGUUCACUUCUCCUUUUCUGUUUUUGUUUGUUUUUCAAGUGCAA